rnacentral:rRNA from 1 species
UGGGGAAUCUUCCGCAAUGGACGAAAGUCUGACGGAGCAACGCCGCGUGAGUGAAGAAGGUUUUCGGAUCGUAAAACUCUGUCUUUUGGGGCGAACGUGAGUAUGGUGAACAAUCAUAGUCAGUGACGGUACCAAAGGAGGAAGCCACGGCUAACUACGUGCCAGCAGCCGCGGUAAUACGUAGGUGGCAAGCGUUGUCCGGAAUUAUUGGGCGUAAAGAGCGCGUAGGCGGGAUAGUCAGUCUGUUGUAAAAGUGCGGGGCUCAACCCCGUGAUGGCAAUGGAAACAGCUAUUCUUGAGUGCAGGAGAGGAAAGUGGAAUUCCCAGUGUAGCGGUGAAAUGCGUAGAUAUUGGGAGGAACACCAGUGGCGAAGGCGACUUUCUGGACUGUGUCUGACGCUGAGGCGCGAAAGCCAGGGGAGCGAACGGGAUUAGAUACCCCGGUAGUCCUGGCCGUAAACGAUGGGUACUAGGUGUGGGGGUAUCGACCCCUUCCGUGCCGGAGUUAACGCAAUAAGUACCCCGCCUGGGGAGUACGGUCGCAAGACUGAAACUCAAAUGAAUUGACGGGGUCAUAGCUGUUUCCUG